rnacentral:lncRNA from 1 species
GAACUGGAACCGAUCGACUUGACUUGGUUCGGUUCGGUUGCGAUUUGGUAUUUCAAUUUCGGUUCCUGUUCGGUUUCGGUUCAAAAUAUCGGUUUUUCAUCACCUGUACAAAUUUAACUACUUUGUUUCCUUAGAAAACUAUCAGUACAAAUGCAAAUAUACAAAUUGCAAUCUAUAAUUUCAUCAAUAAUAUUACCAAACCAAAUCAUUCACUACCAUCACAAUCAAUUGAAAAUAAAAAGAGUUGUGACACUCAUUAGCUUUUAACUUCAAAUAAAUGUUAUAGAUUUCUAAAAAGCAUUUAUGAUAUCGAAAAUGAUUAUGCAAGUUAAUUUGACAAAAAGAAAAGAAAAGGAGUACAAGUAGUAAAGAAAAUUGAGGCUGUAUUAUUACUACUUACUCUCUUUCAUUCAUAAAUCAUAAAGAAAGACUUGAGCUGGGAUUUGUUUCUUCUUCAAUCAAAACAAACCCAGCUCCCUGAGCUUCCGCUCUCACCACCACCAUGCGCCUUGGCAGCGGUGGUUGCUAGAUCUUGAAGCUAGAAGGAAGUGGCACUGGCAGCAGUGAAGGUAGCAAUGGGUGCUAGAUCGUGAAGCCAGAAGGAAGCAAAGAGCCAUCAGCAGGCAACAGCAAACCCAAAAAUGAAGCGACGACAAAACCAAAGCCAGAAGGAAGCGGCAGUAACAGCAAAGCCAAAAGGAAGCGGCAGCAAAGCAAAAAGGCAGCGGCAGUAGCAAAGGUUUUGUUAUCAGCAGCCGGCAGCAAUUUGGCAGAUUUUGGGUAAAAAUUAGUCAUAAUCGGCGGUAAUGUGUGUGUGUGUGUGUGUGUAUGUGUGUGUUUGUGUUAAGGAUGGCAAUGGAUCGGAUUGUUUGGUUCAAAAUUGUGUGUGUGUGUGAUUUUUACCAAACAAUUUGGCAGAUUUCUGGUUCAAAAUUGCAGAACUAGAAUUGAACCAAACAAUUGUCCAUGUGAUUCGAAUUUAAUUGGAUCGAAUUUGGAUCGGAUUAAAAUUGAUUUGGAUCGGAUUUGGAUAUCGAUACAUGAAUUUAAGGCGGAUCUAGAGCAAAUUCGAAUUUAUCUUAAUAUUUAGAUCUAAAUUUAUGUCCACUCACCAUUUAAUGUAAUUUUAUUUUAAAAAAUUCUUAACAAUUAUGUAAUUAUAAAUGAUGAUAAAAUUUAUUAAUUAGCAUAUAUUUAAAAAUAUUAAAAUUUAAAGGUACUUAAUUGAUAAUAAGACAAAAAUUUAUUAAGUGUAAAAUAAAAUUAAGAUAGCCUGCUCUCAUUUUUUUAAGUUUUUCACUGUACAAUUUAGUCUCUUUUUUUCUGUUUAGUAUACUCUAACUUCUCCACUUCAUUUGAAUGCUUGAAUAAGUUCUUUAAUUGUUAGGAAAAUCCAUAGAUUUGAGUUUAUUUUCUAUCAUUUUCUCAUAAUCUUAUUUAUUUUGUAUAAUCACUAAUCAAUGGUGGCUAUCAACUAUAAAAUAAUUAUGUUAAUCAUAUAUUUAGUUAAUAUAUGAUCAUAAUAAAAAUAAUAAAGCACUAAAAAUAAUAAAUCAUUUUAAACUUAUAUAUUAUUAUUUAAUAAUAUUAGAAUGAUGAUGGUGUGCAGUGGAUAUCAAAAUGGUAAAGGAGGCAUUAGAAUAUUAUAAUGAUCUUAUUCUUGCAAUUACUUUUGAUCGAUAUUUUAUUAUCUUUCUUAUUUGUAUAUUUUGGUGUAAAAGUAGAAGUUACAAUACUUAUUAGAUUUUUUAUACAAAAUAUAUAAUUUAAUUGUUACCAAUGCAUUUUAGUCUUAAAUUUUCUUUUUAAAAAAAUAUUGAUCUUUUAUUAUUGAGAUUUAGAAUUCAUGAUGGAUCUAGAGCAAAUUUGAAUUUGAAUUUUUCUUUUUGGAUUUGGAGCAGAUAUAGAUCUUUAUUUUUUGUUUCGGAUCUAGAUAUGGAGCGAAAAAUAUAAAUCCAUGACGGAUCUGGAGCAGAUACGAAUCUUAAUUUUUAUUACGGAUCUGGAUAUAGAGCAAUAUAGAUUCAAUCCAUACCUGCUCCAUUGCCAUCCCUAGUUUGUGUGUCUGUCUCUGUGUGUGUAUUAUUUCAAAAUUACCAUUGGAUUUCAGUUUGAUUCUAGUUUUACAAUUUUGUACUGCUGGAUGUGUGUAUUAUUUCAAAAUUUCAAAAUUGCCAUUGGAUUUUGGUUCAAUUCUAGUUCUGCAAUUUUGAACCAGAAACCCAACCGAACUAUUCGGUUCGGUGGCGGAUCAAAGCUAUUCGAUUUUUUUAUUAAAGAAUAUUGAAACUGUAAAAAAUCGAACCGAACUGAUUUUUCGAAUCGAUUUUUUGAGUUUAGGUUCGGUUCUGCCCACCACUUUAUCACUCCACUCGGUCUCAUAGGCCAUUCCCGAUUUUGCCAUGGGGAUUGUUUUUUAUUGGGAAAAUAUCCACCGUCCACCUAAUUUUGUCCACUUUUUCAAAAAUACACAAAUCUUAAUUUUUUUUAUUGUACUCCACCUAAAAUAAGGUUUUCUUGCAUUCAUCCACUUCCGUUUGCACACGGUUAAGAGAACUAACGGAAAAUUGAUCAAAUGACUAUUUUACCCUAAAUAUAAAAUUAUAAUUUUACCCUAAAUAAAUGCAAAAAAAAAAAAGUGGCUGGCCGAAACCUUAUCCCAAACCUUAUCUUCAGGCUCGAGCUGCUGGUGGCACGAUCAUCGAUUGAGAUCAAGCUAUUGGUGGCAAAGAAACUGAAGGAGAUUGGUGAGAGGUUGGGUACGUAGUGAAGAAAGAAAAAGGAAAUAUUGUUGGGCUAGGGAAUCUGGGAAAAUGGUGUUGCCUAUUGAAGUUUCGAUGGAGAUUGCUACUGAAAUGUUUAUGGUGGAGUGAAAGCGGUGGAUAAUAAUGGCUGCGGGGCUUGCUGUCAGAGUUUGAGGAGGGUGAUUGGGAGGAGUUGCAAAUGGUUUUGGGGAUAUUGCUCUUUCUUGGCAUGGUAAUGAUGUGAUGUAAUGUGAAGAAAAUGGAUAAACCAGGUAGCCCAUGAAAUAUGGGUGUGUGAAAAUCAAGCUGUUACCCGGUGGGAGGGUGACAUUAUGGACUUCAAGCAGCACCUGAAGGCGACGGUCUUGGUUUUAACAAGACUAUGCAAGCUAAGAAAACGCGUGAUUUCUUUGGUGGUUGGAGAAUGAGGAUUGCAUUGGCGCGUGCACUCUUUAUUAACCCAACCAUUCUGUUGCUCGAUUAGCCCACAAAUCAUCUAGAUCUAGAAGCUUGCGUUUGGCUGGAAGAGACCUUGAAGAAAUUUGACCGCAUCUUGGUGGUGAUUUCACACUCCUAGGAUUUUCUAAAUGGAGUUUGCACAAACAUCAUUCACAUGCAAAACAAGAAAUUGAAGUUCUAUACCGGUAAUUUUGAUCAGUAUGUUCAGACUCGUUCUGAAUUGGAAGAGAACCAGAUGAAACAAAGAAUUUAAUUGUGCUGAAACAAAGCAUUUUGAGAGGUAGGAAGAAGGGUCAAAUGACAAAUUUAUCCCUAUGACAUCAACGAGAUUUUAACAGCGUGAACACGGGAGUGGGUGAGUGUAAGAAAACCUUACUUUAGGUGGAGUGCAGCCAAAAAAAUUAAGAUUUGUGUAUUUUUUAAAAAGUAGACAAAAUCAGAUGGACGGUGGAUAUUUUUCCUUUUUUUAUUUUCAACCCACCGACCACCUGAUUUUUCGCACUUUAUUAAAAAUACACAAAUUUUUUUUUUUUUUUUUGCAACAAUCUACUUAAAAUUUACAAAGUUAUCAUCGUUCCACUUCCGUCGUAACUUCGUUAGAAUAUUGCUGACAUCAAAGGGUUAAAAUUGUCAUUUGAAGUAAACACACUAAAACGAUGACGGAUUCCUCUUGCAAAAACGGCCACCAACUGCUGGGGCGUUGCUAGUACCCCAAAUGCACAGAUCGAAAAAAAAAAUAGAGAUAAAAACACAAAACAUACUCAAAUCAAAAUUUCAAGAACCCAAAUCAUGUCAUGGAUAAUAUUUGAAGGAUUACUGUCGUUGGGCAUCAUAACAGCAAUGCUAACAAUUGCCGACAAUGCGCAGUAUCACAUCCACAAAGCCGCUCACGGAUGCUCGAAGCACGUCGGCAAUGAUGUGUGGUACGUCGCGAUGGAGAGAAGGGACAAGAAGAUUGUGGAAUAGCUCUUUAAUGCUUCCUCCAAUUAGAUGUUGUCUUGCCUUUCCAGAAGCUUUGCUUAUGAAGAUUCAAGCAGAUGCAAUAUGUUCAUUUUCUUAUCUUUUGUACGUGAAUCUAUUUAAGCCUUUAAAUUGUUUUUUGGAAAAACAAAAACUUUGUCCAAUCAUGAAUUUAGGAAAUUGAUUAAGGCUAAUGAGUUUAGUGAAGAGGGCGCAACAGCGGCUGCAAACAAUCUAGGCGGGGAAGAAGGAGGUGUUCUUCUUAAUAUUUGUUAUCUAAUUUAUUUAUUUUAAGAUUUUUUAUAAUUAUUUAGUUUUAAGAUUUUUUUAUAAUUAUUUAUUUUUAUAUGCAACUUCUAUUAUCAAAUUUAUUUAUUAUUAUUUUUAAGAUUUUUAUUUGAUAGUUAUUUAUUAUUUUUAAGAUUUUUUUAUAAUUACCCCUUUGCAACUAAAAGUUUUUUAUGGAUAAAAUAGUCAUUUGAUGAGUAUUCUAUUAAAUACUCUGACAGUAUUAUAACAUGAGUGGAGUGGUGAUACACCUUAUAAACUUCGGGUGGAUUGUUGCAAAAAAAAAAAGAUUAUGUAUUUUUGAUAAAGUACAAAAAAUCAGGUGAUCGGUGUAUAUUUUUCCUUGUUUUUAAGAAAGUGAAAUGCUGCGUUUAAUUCGUGGUCUCCCAUUUUCUCUCUGCAACGGCAACCGUGUUAUUAAACUCCGAUGACUAUGAGACCAGCAACUGAUUUGGCGACUCGGAUCAGCCAAGCAAUAAUCUCCGCUUCGAAUCGCACAAGGCCAGCACGGAAAUGGACCCCAUUACUGGAACAAACUCUCCACCAACUCGGUCUCCGUGACUCACUGAGUCCAUCGCUUGUGGCCCGAGUCAUCAACCCGUAUCUCUUAACACACCACUCCCUCGCUCUUGGCUUCUUCAACUGGGCCUCCCAACAACCCAACUUCACUCACUCCCCGCUCUCUUAUCACUCAAUCCUCAAAUCUCUUUCUCUUUCCCGCCAAAUCAACGCAAUUGACUCCGUCUUAAAGCAAGUCAAAGUUAAUAAAAUAACUCUAGAUUCUUCAGUUUAUCGGUUUAUAAUUCCUUCACUGAUCCAAGGAAAGAAUACCCAGAAAGCUUUUUCAGUUUUCAAUGAAGUUAAGUUCAACUGUGAAGACAUUGGGCCUGAGAUAUGCAACUCUCUGUUGGCUGUAUUAGCUUCUGAUGGAUACAUUGAUAAUGCUUUGAAGAUGUUCGAUGAAAUGUCUCAUAGAGGUGUCGAGUUCAGUACCAUUGGUUUUGGUGUGUUUAUUUGGAAGUUCUGUGAAAAUGCUAAACUGGGUCAAGUUUUAAGCAUGUUGGACGAGGUUAGAAAGAGAGAGAAUUCAAUGAUUAAUGGGUCGGUAAUUGCGGUUUUGAUAAUUCAUGGGUUUUGCAAGGGUAAAAGAGUAGAAGAGGCUUUUAAGGUAUUAGAUGAGUUGAGGAUAAGAGAGUGUAAACCUGACUUCAUUGCUUAUAGAAUUGUAGCUGAAGAGUUUAAACUAAUGGGAUCUGUGUUUGAAAGAGAAGUAGUCUUGAAGAAGAAAAGAAAGCUAGGGGUUGCUCCAAGAACUAAUGACUAUAGAGAGUUUAUUUUAGGUUUGAUUGUGGAGAGACGAAUAUGUGAAGCAAAAGAACUGGGCGAAGUGAUUGUUAGUGGGAAGUUUACCAUUGAUGAUGAUGUUUUAAAUGCCUUGAUAGGUUCGGUAUCGAGCAUUGAUCCUAGGUCUGCUAUUGUGUUUUUUAAUUUUAUGAUUGAGAAAGGGAGAGUUCCGACAUUAUCGACAUUGAGUAACUUGAGUAAGAAUUUAUGUAAGCGUAACAAGAGUGAUGAAUUGGUAGAGGUUUAUAAGGUUCUGUCUGCUAAUGAUUAUUUCACUGAUAUGGAGAGUUACAAUGUGAUGGUUUCAUUCUUGUGCACUUCAGGGAGACUAAGAGAAGCAUAUGGGGUUAUUCAGGAGAUGAAGAGGAAAGGAUUAGAUCCAGAUGUUUCUUUUUAUAAUUCUCUCAUGGAAGCAUGCUGUAGAGAAGAUUUGCUGCGUCCUGCUAAAAAGUUGUGGGAUCAGAUGUUUGCUAGUGGCUGCAGUGGAAAUCUGAAGACGUACAAUAUACUUAUUAGCAAGUUUUCAGAAGUUGGUGAAAUUGAAGGCGCUUUGAGGCUCUUCCACAAUAUGUUGGAGAAAGGAGUGGCGCCUGAUGCUACAACUUACACAUCCCUUCUUGAAGGGCUUUGUCAAGAAACAAAUCUUCAAGCUGCUUUUGAAGUCUUUAACAAGUCUGUUAAUCAGGAUGUCAUGCUCGCACGUAGCAUUUUGAGCACAUUCAUGAUUUCUCUCUGUAGAAGAGGUAUCAAUUCAACUUUCUCUUAUGUUUUGUUUCCUUAUGAGAAGCUAUUUACAUGCUUCAAUUAAGCUUCAUGCAGGUCAUUUUCUCGUUGCUACUAAGUUGCUCCAUGGUCUCAGUUCUGAUUUAGGACAUUCAGACUCCCAUGUUAUCUUGCUGAAAUCUUUAGCUGAUGCCAGAGAGGUUGAAAUGGCCAUUGAACAUAUAAAAUGGAUUCAGGAGAGCUCACCUACAAUGUUACAAGAAAUUUCUGAAGAAUUAUUUGCAUCACUUUCGUCUUCUUCAUACCCAGAGCCUAUUCUUCUGCUGCUUCAUGCAUUGCAGGAAAAAUGCCUAGAUUCUGAAAUUGGUGCUGGUAAGGGAUGCAGCAGAUCAUAACCUGGGUGGUAGUCGGGUAUCCUAGUGGCAGGAUGAGUAAUGCUCCCAAGUCAGUGACUAUGUUUUAUGUUUUAGUAUCUGGCUCAUUGGUGCAACUAAAAACAGUAACCAAAAUGCAGAUUUUUCUGCAGUGACGGUGUACAAUAUGUGGAAAUUAAGUCUAUUAAUUGUCUUCUCACUUCUAAGGGACUCCUUCCUACACAAGGCUAUUAAUUGUCGUCCUCCUUUACAUGACUGUGACUUCCUACAUUCUGUCUGUUGUUGCACCACCAAUAUUGUGGUAUUGCCCAUAAAAUCUGCUGAAGCUAACACAUCACCUAUCAUUCCCAACUCUCUGAACUCAUUCCAAAAUGUCAGCCCUGACCUGAUUGGUGAUAGAUUGUCAUGAUUCUUUCCCACCAUUGCAAGUUCAUAAUUGUUCUCCAUGGAUUUGAUCUCAGCCACAGCCCCUACACAAUCCACAGCCACCCUCUCUGUAUAUUACACGAUAGUUUCCUUCUUUUAGAUAUGGUAUUAAACAGGACAACUGAGACCAGGCUGUGACUGCUUUGCUCAGAGAAUCUGAAGAUACUGACCAAGUGUUCAAAUAUAGAGGGACUUUGGUCUGUGAAAAGUGAGUUUGCACGUCCGGCAAGCACAAUGAAGUGGAGGAUAUAGAUGGUAAUAGGGCUUUGAUGGGUGGGACUUAAAAAGUAUUGAGGACAUUGAUGGCAAUAGGAAUAUCCUCUUGGUCGUCUAUGCAAAACUAGUAGCCGAGGUGAUGAGUCAGGCUUGGAAUGAAUUACAGGCCUUCUCGUGUAAACUACAUGCCUCCUUGAAGGAUCAUGGAGAUGUCCUAUGAAGGGUGUGAUGGCACCAGUUACAAGCAGCAGCGUGAAAGCGCACAUGAAAAGAGUCGUUAUCUACUGCCAGCAAUAAUAAUAGGAAACCAAGUUUUCAGACUUUUAGAUAAUUGUCAUUCUUCAAUACCUGUAGCCGUCCGUCUAUAUUACAUAAUUACGGUAGCAAGAGAUGGACAAUUAUUCAGAAGUACAAAGAUGAAAAUAUAAUGAAAAUAAGAGCUCCCGAUUUAACGCGUAAGCCCAUGGCGUGACUGCAUAAACCUUCCACCAAGAAUGCUAUAACUAUUAUUAUUGUAUUUUGUACAUUCAGGAUUGAUGCAGUAGAAUCGAAGCUGCUAUCACAACGAAACUGCGGAAGAAACUUACCACGAAGAAGAUAAAGCAGAGUUUAUGAUUAGACGAGCUCAUUGAGGGAGUAAGCUAAUAUUGGGAAGGAGAGCAUGGAUUCUACUUGCGCUAACCUUCAUGAAGACUUAAAAGAACAGCCGAUGUUUGGCAACCAUUGGUACCGCGAAGCAUCUGCUAUUUCGUCCAUUUUCUGAAUUAUCCACGAAUCAAUUUGCAAUCCAAUAUGAAAGAAGUAAAGCAUGAAUCCUAGAGAAGCAGAAAUAUUUAUCUUGGGGGUGGAAACAAGUUUGUACAUUCAGGAAUCUGUCCUAGGAGUGCCCACCCAACCUUGGGUUUACCAAAAACAAAAAAUAAAAGUAAAAAAAAAAUGAAACAAUUAUUUCUUUUAUUAGUAUAUGCAACUCUACAAAAGAAUUUUGAAUUUUCUCUAUCCCAUCUACACAAGCUAGACCUCAUUUACGUUUUACUGUAUACAUUGAGAAUGGCAAGGCAGUGUAGAAAACAAAAUCAGCUACCGCAUCUCCAAACAAAAAAGAAUGCAAAAACAACGAAAAUCUAGAUACUUGAACUAUUCAACUGUACAGAAUCCUUCUAUACAAAGAAUGCAGAAAAUCACAAUGCAAUAUAUGUACAUCUUGUAGCUGGUCAAUCUUCAAGGCGCUGAAUUUCACCCAUCAUGAUCCGGUUGCUAGAAACUUUAAAUCCAAGGAGAGCGGGAUCUAUCUGCCUUCCUUUCUUUCCUUUCUUUUUGCCACCCCGCCCACUUGGUGCACCAUCAGAUGACUCAAAAGCAGCCCCAUUUGAUGGAUCUGCUUCUGGAUGAACUGGUUUCUUAAGCAUGUCUAUGAAUGAUGUCUCCGAGACUGCUGCAUCACUGAAAGAUGAGGUCCUCCUAAAUCGCAGAUCUUUCUUGCCAGUUUCAGAGACUCUGGCUCCUACUGGAUUAUUAACAGAUUCCCGCUUUCCUUCUGAAAGUUACCACAGCCAUAAAUGAACUAAUAGUCCAUAACCAAAAAAAUUAAAAGCAGAGUGACUGAAACACAUUUUAUACCAUCAGAUGCAAGGGAAGCUGAACUUUUCUGCUUGACAAUUGGAGCAGCAGUUGGCUCAUCCUGGGAAGAUGAAGCAACUCUUGUUACAGUUGGGCGUUUGUUCCAAUCAUUGUCAAGCCCUUUGGGUAACAUGGUGGGUAGCCUGUCAACAAAAAAUGACUUCUUUAUCAACAUGGCUAAGGGAGUGAACAGUUGCAAAACAUAGCACUAGCCACUAGCUACUCCAAAAUCACUGAGCAAAACUAUUCCAACAAUAGUGAACAGCAGCUCUUUUUUUUUUUUUUUAAUGAAAAACGGUGAUUUACACAGUACAAAUACAUCCGCCCUGCUGUACCGUACAUCCCCUUGGCCGUACAGCAGAGAAGGAAGCAAAGAGCCAUCAGCAGGCAACAGCAAACCCAAAAAUGAAGCGACGACAAAACCAAAGCCAGAAGGAAGCGGCAGUAACAGCAAAGCCAAAAGGAAGCGGCAGCAAAGCAAAAAGGCAGCGGCAGUAGCAAAGGUUUUGUUAUCAGCAGCCGGCAGCAAUUUGGCAGAUUUUGGGUAAAAAUUAGUCAUAAUCGGCGGUAAUGUGUGUGUGUGUGUGUGUGUAUGUGUGUGUUUGUGUUAAGGAUGGCAAUGGAUCGGAUUGUUUGGUUCAAAAUUGUGUGUGUGUGUGAUUUUUACCAAACAAUUUGGCAGAUUUCUGGUUCAAAAUUGCAGAACUAGAAUUGAACCAAACAAUUGUCCAUGUGAUUCGAAUUUAAUUGGAUCGAAUUUGGAUCGGAUUAAAAUUGAUUUGGAUCGGAUUUGGAUAUCGAUACAUGAAUUUAAGGCGGAUCUAGAGCAAAUUCGAAUUUAUCUUAAUAUUUAGAUCUAAAUUUAUGUCCACUCACCAUUUAAUGUAAUUUUAUUUUAAAAAAUUCUUAACAA